UGGGGAAUCUUGCGCAAUGGGCGAAAGCCUGACGCAGCGACGCCGCGUGUGGGAAGAAGGCUUUCGGGUUGUAAACCACUUUCAGGAGGGAAGAAGCGCAAGUGACGGUACCUCCAGAAGAAGCCCCGGCCAACUACGUGCCAGCAGCCGCGGUAAUACGUAGGGGGCAAGCGUUGUCCGGAAUUAUUGGGCGUAAAGAGCUCGUAGGCGGUUCCUUAAGUCGGGUGUGAAAUCUCAGGGCUCAACCCUGAAAUUGCACCCGAUACUGGGGAACUUGAGGCAGGUAGGGGAGAUCGGAAUUCCUGGUGUAGCGGUGAAAUGCGCAGAUAUCAGGAGGAACACCGGUGGCGAAGGCGGAUCUCUGGGCCUGUACUGACGCUGAGGAGCGAAAGCGUGGGGAGCAAACAGGAUUAGAUACCCCCGUAGUCC
rnacentral:rRNA from 1 species